rnacentral:rRNA from 1 species
GCAGCCGCCACGGUAAUACAGAGGGUGCGAGCGUUAAUCGGAUUUACUGGGCGUAAAGCGUGCGUAGGCGGCUUCUUAAGUCGGAUGUGAAAUCCCUGAGCUUAACUUAGGAAUUGCAUUCGAUACUGGGAAGCUAGAGUAUGGGAGAGGAUGGUAGAAUUCCAGGUGUAGCGGUGAAAUGCGUAGAGAUCUGGAGGAAUACCGAUGGCGAAGGCAGCCAUCUGGCCUAAUACUGACGCUGAGGUACGAAAGCAUGGGGAGCAAACAGGAUUAGAUACCCCGGUAGUCCCUGUCUCUUAUAC